rnacentral:tRNA from 1 species
CGGGGAGUAGCUCAGUUGGCUAGAGCGCUACGUUUGGGACGUAGAGGUCGGAGGUUCGAGUCCUCUCUCCCCGACCA